GACGAACGCUGGCGGCGUGCCUAAUACAUGCAAGUAGAACGCACAGUUUAUACCGUAGCUUGCUACACCAUAGACUGUGAGUUGCGAAUGGGUGAGUAACGCGUAGGUAACCUGCCUGGUAGCGGGUGAUAACUAUUGGAAACGAUAGCUAAUAACGCAUAAUAUUAAUUAUUGCAUGAUAAUUAAUUGAAAGGUGCAAUUGCACCACUACCAGAUGGACCUGCGUUGUAUUAGCUAGUAGGUGAGGUAACGGCUCACCUAGGCGACGAUACAUAGCCGACCUGAGAGGGUGAUCGGCCACACUGGGACUGAGACACGGCCCAGACUCCUACGGGAGGCAGCAGUAGGGAAUCUUCGGCAAUGGACGAAAGUCUGACCGAGCAACGCCGCGUGAGUGAAGAAGGUUUUCGGAUCGUAAAGCUCUGUUGUAAGAGAAGAACGGGUGUGAGAGUGGAAAGUUCACACUGUGACGGUAUCUUACCAGAAAGGGACGGCUAACUACGUG
rnacentral:rRNA from 1 species